rnacentral:ncRNA from 2 species
AACGACCAUAAUUGAUUAGGUGCUCAAUAUUUAUACUUUAACAAGGUAUGAAUUAGAGAUAAUCGGGAAGUUAGUACAUGCUAUGCAUAAUUCUAACGCUGCCCCCGCAACGGUAAUACUUUACGCUAUGUAAAGUUAAGCCCGGAGACCGGCCUAAAUGAUAUCGAAUGA